rnacentral:lncRNA from 1 species
AAAUCCUUAAGAUGUCCAUGCGCCUUGGCCCAAAGAAAGCCAAAAAGCAAAACUUAUCCUAAAUGACUAAAAACAGAGCAGCUUAAUUAUUGAAGAUCCUUUUUGAAAUAAAAAGUACAGUAUACCCAUUAAUUCACAAGAAUCAAGGGGGUGUCCCCAAGUACAAAAAUUAUUUACAACUCAGUAAGCAUGUCAAUAAAUCUCCAAAAUCCUUUGUAUAAUAGAUAGGAUGCCCCACAACCAAGAGCUCCAAAUUUUGGAGCCAUCUGUCCCUAACUCCAACAAAAUCCUCUUUCACUCCCGCAAAAGCUCUUUUGAUUCUCUCCUUCCACACCACUCCUAAACUAAAAAGAGGAACGAGACUCAUAUGUUUCCUCCCAUUACUAAUACCCUUCAGGUCCAAAUCUCAUCUCUUACCAAACUAGUUAUUGCCAAGCUAAACCCUAAUAAACCAUAGUCCAUCACUUAUACAUGAAUGGGCACCAAAGUAGAAUAUGAUUACAAGAUUCAAGCCUCCCUCUUACAAAGAUAGUAGCC